rnacentral:misc_RNA from 1 species
AAAGUCGUAACAAGGUCUCCGUUGGUGAACCAGCGGAGGGAUCAUUAGGGGAGGCCCAAAAGGCUAUCGACCCCAACCAUUGUGAACGAAGCUUUGUAGUUGCUUCGGCGAGUGGUAAUACAAGCCCUUUACGGGGUACUCGCCGGAAGCAAGUAAUCUCUAGUCAUUUAUUGUUAUGUCUGAGUAAACUUUAAUAAGUUAAAACUUUCAACAACGGAUCUCUUGGUUCUG